AAGCUCCCUUGACUGAUGGCCAGGCUGGCAUUUUGGGAACCUGGGCAGGAGGAGAUAAGCCAAUAUAUCUGCCUGUUGAGCCUACAGUUAAAAAUAAUUAUAGAGAACAUGGUGGUGCUUCAGAAACUGUCAGGAAUCAUUCUCCUCAGGUGACUGCCCUUCUUGGGCAAGAGCUUUGACCGCAGAAAACCCAGAAAGCUGAGACAUGGAGUUUCUUGCAGGGAUCUCUACUCUUUGUCCAAGAAGACCUAAGAUAUCAGUGGAGAGAAGGUGGCAGAACCACAGACAUCCUUAUGCAGAUGAAGCUGGGUG